rnacentral:rRNA from 1 species
AUUGAACGCUGGCGGCAUGCCUUACACAUGCAAGUCGAACGGCAGCGCGGACUUCGGUCUGGCGGCGAGUGGCGAACGGGUGAGUAAUGUAUCGGAACGUACCAUUCAGUGGGGGAUAACGCAGCGAAAGUUGCGCUAAUACCGCAUAUUCUGUGCGCAGGAAAGCAGGGGAUCGCAAGACCUUGCGAUGAUUGAGCGGCCGAUAUCAGAUUAGCUAGUUGGUGAGGUAAAGGCUCACCAAGGCGACGAUCUGUAGCGGGUCUGAGAGAAUGAUCCGCCACACUGGAACUGAGACACGGUCCAGACUCCUACGGGAGGCAGCAGUGGGGAAUUUUGGACAAUGGGCGCAAGCCUGAUCCAGCCAUGCCGCGUGAGUGAAGAAGGCCUUCGGGUUGUAAAGCUCUUUCGGCCGGGAAGAAAUCGUAUGGGUUAGUACCCUGUGCGGAUGACGGUACCGGCAUAAGAAGCACCGGCUAACUACGUGCCAGCCGCCGCGGUAAAAC